rnacentral:rRNA from 1 species
UACGUAGGGGGCAAGCGUUGUCCGGAAUCAUUGGGCGUAAAGCGCGUGUAGGCGGCUCGAUAAGUCUGCUGUGAAAGUCCAGGGCUCAACCCUGGGAUGCCGGUGGAUACUGUCGAGCUCGAGUCCGGAAGAGGCGAGUGGAGUUCCUGGUGUAGCGGUGAAAUGCGCAGAUAUCAGGAGGAACACCAAUGGCGAAGGCAGCUCGCUGGGACGUGACUGACGCUGAGACGCGAAAGCGUGGGGAGCAAACAGG